UCCGUAGGUGAACCUUGCGGAGGGAUCAUUACACAAUAUGAAAGCGGGGCUGGAAUCCUUUGGGGGUUACAGCCUUGCUGAAUUAUUCACCCGUGUCUUUUGCGUACUUCUUGUUUCCUUGGUGGGUUCGCCCACCAUAGGACAAACCAUUAAACCUUUUGUAAUUGCAAUCAGCGUCAGUAAAAAAAUUAAUAAUUACAACUUUUAACAACGGAUCUCUUGGUUCUGGCAUCGAUGAAGAACGCAGCGAAAUGCGAUAAGUAGUGUGAAUUGCAGAAUUCAGUGAAUCAUCGAAUCUUUGAACGCACAUUGCGCCCUUUGGUAUUCCAAAGGGCAUGCCUGUUCGAGCGUCAUUUGUACCCUCAAGCUUUGCUUGGUGUUGGGCGUCUUGUCUCCAGUUCGCUGGAGACUCGCCUUAAAGUAAUUGGCAGCCGGCCUACUGGUUUCGGAGCGCAGCACAAGUCGCGCUCUCUUCCAGCGAAGGUCAGCAUCCACAAAGCCUUUUUUCAACUUUUGACCUCGGAUCAGGUAGGGAUACCCGCUGAACUUAAACAUAUCAAUAAGCGGAGGA
rnacentral:rRNA from 1 species